rnacentral:rRNA from 1 species
UGCCAGCAGCCGCGGUAAUACGGAGGGGGCUAGCGUUAUUCGGAAUCACUGGGCGUAAAGCGUACGUAGGUGGUUAUAUAAGUCAGAUGUGAAAGCCCGGGGCUCAACCCCGGAACUGCAUUUGAAACUGUAUGACUAGAGUCCGGCAGAGGAUAGUGGAAUUCCAAGUGUAGCGGUGAAAUGCGUAGAUAUUUGGAGGAACACCAGAGGCGAAGGCGGCUAUCUGGACCGGUACUGACACUAAGGUACGAAAGCGUGGGGAGCAAACAGGAUUAGAUA